AAGGACAGACCUGAGUUCAGUCUUCCAAAUCUCCUCUGUUUGGAGUCUUGUUUGAUUCAGGGUUUUCCAUGUUACAGACAAUGCAUGAAGGGUCUUCCCUCCUGGCAGAACCUGCUAAAGGCACAGCAGUAUCCACUUCUUCCUUUCUAAGUAGCACAAUGCUUAUUUUAUUCUGAGCAGCAAUGUUCUGACUAAAAUUGGAACAAAUGUCCUUUGCUGUUAAGGGUGACAAGUGACAAUCUGAGGAAGUUGGCAAAUUCUGAGAAACCGCCGUAAAAAGGGCUCAGAGCUUUUCGUGUCCUAAGAAAUCUUCACCAAUAUCAUGAAGAUGUUUUCCCCUAUGGUAUUCUAGAAGCCAUGACUGUGUUUGGGACUUUUGGGACUUGGAGCCGUCUCCAAUUAAUUAUUGUCUAUGAUAGGUUCUCAGAAACUGACAGAGCCUUCGCGACAGCCCACUUGGCAGGUGGGGGGCGCUUUGCAAUGCUGAGUGUUCGCAUUACUCCUCCGUUUAUGUGCAUGUCGGGCGAGACCUAACGGUGAAGUGGGUGACGCCAUGGCAGACUGGCAACAAGAUGGACACUGACACUAACGUUGGGAAUCCUUUUAUUUAAUAAGAUUCAUUUACAUUUUCAAAAAUCAAAUAAAACAAUCUUACCUUCAAAUACUUUAGAAGAUAGUCAAGAGAAGAGUGUGAUAAUGUACCAUUGCAGUGGGCAAAGGAAAAGGUAAACGAGCCCAAAUUUUGGCCGGAAACCCAGAAGCCUUCCUUGUGCCAACUGUGACACAGUCUGAAUUUGUUAUUGGGAGACGUGGCUGUGAGGCUGCCAGCCGUGAUGACAGGCUCUGCAAUCAUUCAAAGACUGUUGGAUAGUUUCUGCAUCUGCCCAGAGGUGGACCAUCUUGAUGAAACAUGUAUUACAUCUACCCUUAUAAUCACCCUCAGAAACACAAAAGAAAGUCACCGAAAUGCUGUUAAAGGAAUUAGAUUUAAUUUAUAGAAGACUCAAGCUGCAUUAGAAGAGUUAAGUGAAAUGCCUAGCAGAAUAUCCUCAGUGAAUCACUGUCUUCAGAGAAAAAUAAAACUGAUUUCAAAUUUGCUCUAUUCCAAUCACUCAGUAUGUUGAUUGCUAUUAAUAACAUUAGAAAAAGCUGACCAAGAAAGAAAAAAAGAUACAGAAAUAAGCAAGGUUGACUAGUUCAUGUUUUAAGAAUUAAAUGCAUUGUUUUU